GUACCCUAAGUGGUCAAAGCGUCCGCCUCAGAUGCGGGAGGUCGCUGGUUUGAACACCGGUCGAGUCA